rnacentral:rRNA from 1 species
GUCUAUGGCCAUGCCACCCUGAACAAGCCCAAUCUCGUCUGAUCUCAGAAGCUAAGGGUCAGGCUUGUUUAGUACUUGGAUGGGAGACCACCUAGGAAGACCAGGUGCUGUAGGCG